AUGUACGUCAGAAACCUUGCACGACGACUGCACCAAAACAAGACCCUAUCCUUGCUUUUCAAGUUGGAUAUUCGGAAGGCCUUCGACUCGGUGCGAUGGGAAUAUAUCUUGGACCUGCUUCAUCGCUUGGGCUUUCCGGACCGCUUUCGGGAUUGGAUUGCUGCCCUUUUCUGCACCUCAUCGUCACGCGUUCUUCUCAACAGUAUUGUCGGGCCCCCGAUCCUCCAUGGUUGUGGACUUAGGCAGGGAGACCCUCUCUCUCCCUUGCUUUUCGUCAUCACAAUUGACACGCUGCAGCAGAUCCUCGAUGUCGCGACGAACCACAAUCUCCUACACAAGCUUCGAGGGAGGGGAUCGCUUGUUUGGACCUCCCUCUAUGCUGAUGACGCGGCGAUUUUCAUCUCGCCGACGCGGGAGGACGUCCAUAACCUUGCUGCCAUCCUCAGAUAUUUCGGCGAGGUCACCGGGCUGUCAACCAACUUUCAAAAGAGCUCUGUAGUUGCUAUUCGGUGU
rnacentral:rRNA from 1 species